GUGCCUAGAAUUCUUUUUUUUUUUUUUUUUUUUUUCAAAUGCUGGGAACUUAAAAAUGACUCAAGCUCAUAUCAUAAAUAAGAUACUAUAACUUUUAAACUAUCACUUUGGAUGGUUAAUUUACUCUUAGCAAAUAGAAUAUUUGUAUUUUGUUUAAGCCUUGUGUAUUUGUCAUUAAUAAUUUUUAAUCCACUCAAAACUGCCUUGACAAAUAGCUAUUUCAUCUAUUCGUUUGCUCCACAUGAUUGAUUCAGAAUACAUGUCUUGUAGCUAGGUCAAGAUUUUAUUUCUUUCUCGGAAUUUUUAUGUUCUUCAACUCACACUUUUAAUUGUCACAAUGUUUUGAUUUAGUUCAGUUAGACUGAAAUUGGAUAGCAGUAGUGAUUUAAACUCUUAAUCUAAAUAUUGUAAUACUGGUAGUGACAGUAAUGAUUUUAUCAGCCUUUGAGACACUGUUAAAAAAGCUAGCAAAUUGCUUUUGAUAACCCUUGUUUUAUCUACUCCAUAUUCAGAGUAUGUUUUCAGGAAAUUGCUUUUUUUUUAUUAUCUUUUGUUUUAUUAACACUAAAAUGUUUUUCAUACUUUAAGUACCGGUACAUGGUAUGUUAGUGUGAGAUGGUCUUGGUUAUUAUAGGUCAACUAACAAAUGGCUUAAUGUUGGUGAUAAAUAGCAUUAACAAAAGAAGUUUUACUUUUUUUUUUUAUCCAGCAGCUUAGUCUUGUCACAACUUUUUAAAAACUAUUUAUUAAAACAUUUUGAAAAGAU